rnacentral:rRNA from 1 species
AACCAGCACCUCAAGUGGUCAGGAUGAUUAUUGGGCCUAAAGCAUCCGUAGCCUGCUCUGUUAGUUUUCGGUUAAAUCCAUGUGCUCAACACAUAGGCUGCCGAAAAUACUGCAGAGCUAGGGAGUGGGAGAGGUAGACGGUACUCAGUAGGAAGGGGUAAAAUCCUUUGAUCUAUUGAUGACCACCUGUGGCGAAGGCGGUCUACCAGAACACGUUCGACGGUGAGGGAUGAAAGCUGGGGGAGCAAACCGG